CCAAAAUAUAUUUCAUCUGUUUAAUUGUUCAUUCAAAAUAUUUAAUUUCUUAACAUAAAAAUUAAAAAUAACACCUCAAAGAUUCAUUGAACAGUUAACUACUGUAAAGCAACUUAUUUUGGUGGAUAAUUUAUUCCUUCCUAGGCCACUUCUCAGCUUAUAAAUAUUGUGUUACUAAUGGUUCUAUGAGCAAAACUUAAAGCCCCCGCCAACCUUCACCCCCCUCCAAAAAAAAAAUAAAAAAAAUAAAUAGAAACACAAAAAAACUUGGAGACCUGUGCAUGAUGCCACUUGUAAAAUUAAUUCAGUCAAAUAUUAAAUGCAGGUUGUAAAGAUGAAGAGCAAAUGACAUAUGUAGAAACUCGACUGGAAGACUUGAAAGAUAUAGACACCCCCAUCGAACACGACAACUACAAAAUACA
rnacentral:lncRNA from 1 species